rnacentral:rRNA from 1 species
AGCAUGAACUUAGCUUGCUAAGUUUGAUGGCGACCGGCGCACGGGUGAGUAACACGUAUCCAACCUUCCGUUUACUCAGGGAUAGCCUUUCGAAAGAAAGAUUAAUACCUGAUAGUAUGGUGAGAUUGCAUGAUAGCACCAUUAAAGAUUUAUCGGUGUACGAUGGGGAUGCGUUCCAUUAGAUAGUAGGCGGGGUAACGGCCCACCUAGUCUUCGAUGGAUAGGGGUUCUGAGAGGAAGGUCCCCACAUUGGAACUGAGACACGGUCCAAACUCC